GAUGAACGUUGGCGGCGUGCCUAAUACAUGCAAGUCGAACGAGGACCCGGUAUUUAUAUCGGUGCUCCUAGUGGCGAACGGGUGAGUAACGCGUUGGUGAUCUGCCCUGAAGAGAGGGAUAACAGCUAGAAAUGGCUGCUAAUACCUCAUGUGGUUGCGAGAGUUAGGGGUCUUGCAAUUAAAGGAGUAAUCCGCUUCAGGAGGAACCUGCGUCCCAUCAGCUAGUUGGUGGGGUAAUGGCCUACCAAGGCUAAGACGGGUAGGGGCGUGAGAGCGCGACCCCCCACAAUGGAACUGAGACACGGUCCAUACUCCUACGGGAGGCAGCAGUGAGGAAUAUUGCGCAAGUGGGGGCAACCCUGACGCAGCAACGCCGCGUGGGUGAUGAAGGCCUUCGGGUACGUUAAACCCUUUUCUGGGGGAAGAGAAAGGACGGUACCUCAGGAAUAAGUCCCGGCUAACUACGUG
rnacentral:rRNA from 1 species